rnacentral:rRNA from 1 species
GGAAUAUUGCGCAAUGGGGGAAACCCUGACGCAGCGACGCCGCGUGGAGGACGAAGCCCUUCGGGGUGUAAACUCCUUUCGACGGGGACGAACCUUCACCUUCGGGUGAACUGACGGUACCCGUAUAAGAAGCCCCGGCCAACUACGUGCCAGCAGCCGCGGUAAUACGUAGGGGGCCAGCGUUGCUCGGAAUUACUGGGCGUAAAGGGUUCGUGGGCGGGGGGGCAAGUCGGCGGUGAAAUUUCCCGGCUCAACCGGGAGGGGUCCGCCGAAACUGCGCGACUAGAGGGCCGGAGAGGCGAGUGGAAUUACCGGUGUAGCGGUGAAAUGCGUAGAUAUCGGUAGGAACACCGGAGGCGAAGGCGGCUCGCUGGACGGCUCCUGACGCUGAGGAACGAAAGCUGGGGGAGCAAAC